CGCACCGAGUACACAUAAUUUCGUAACUCUGGCUAACAACAAGUCAAGACUCACCGUUUUCGUAAUUUUUUCUCAGCAGUGUGAUGUUGUGAUUGAGAUCGCAAUCGGCGCUGUUCCCAUCGUCGAAAAGAUCCGAUGACAAUUGACGUUGGAGCAGGAUAGUUUCGUUGGUAAGACCUCUGACCUGGACGAGAAGUUCUUCAUAACUGGAUACGGGUAACGUCAUCGUUCGAUCAACAAUUUUUUUGCGUCCCUUCGGCUCCCGUGGUUCUUCCUCUUCGCAAGGCCUCACUGCGGCGCCUCCACUCCAUCCGGUUCCAGGCCCAAACUGCAGCAAAAUUGCGUCGUUAUACCAGAAGUGACUCAGUAAAUUGAACUAUUGGAGACACCGGUGAAAAACUACACCCGUCAUACCGGUUGACGAAUGAAGCAAUAAUAAAUUAACGAUCACCGGAGUCUCCGAUCUUCUGGAGAUGAACCUGGUUGAAAUUUGAUACGACUGUCGAGCACGUGA
rnacentral:misc_RNA from 1 species